rnacentral:misc_RNA from 1 species
AAGUCGUAACAAGGUUUCCGUAGGUGAACCUGCGGAAGGAUCAUUACAGUAUUCUUUUGCCAGCGCUUAACUGCGCGGCGAAAAACCUUACACACAGUGUCUUUUUGAUACAGAACUCUUGCUUUGGUUUGGCCUAGAGAUAGGUUGGGCCAGAGGUUUAACAAAACACAAUUUAAUUAUUUUUACAGUUAGUCAAAUUUUGAAUUAAUCUUCAAAA